AGAGUUUGAUCCUGGCUCAGAUUGAACGCUGGCGGCAUGCUUUACACAUGCAAGUCGAACGGUAACAGGGUGCUUGCACCGCUGACGAGUGGCGAACGGGUGAGUAAUGCAUCGGAAUGUACCGUGUAAUGGGGGAUAGCUCGGCGAAAGCCGGAUUAAUACCGCAUACGCCCUGAGGGGGAAAGUGGGGGACCGAAAGGCCUCACGUUAUACGAGCAGCCGAUGUCUGAUUAGCUAGUUGGUGAGGUAAAGGCUCACCAAGGCGUCGAUCAGUAGCGGGUCUGAGAGGAUGAUCCGCCACACUGGGACUGAGACACGGCCCAGACUCCUACGGGAGGCAGCAGUGGGGAAUUUUGGACAAUGGGCGCAAGCCUGAUCCAGCCAUGCCGCGUGUCUG
rnacentral:rRNA from 1 species